AACUUACAUUAAUUUUUAAACACACACACACGUUAUUAAUGCUUCCAAGUUUGUCGCCACAUCCCACUUCUGCACAUAUAUCACAAAUUAUGGAGAGCAUGUAAAACAAAAGGAAAUCCAACACCAUGAAAAUUGGUAGACCCACAUUCAGAAGGGAUUGCAUCUAAAUUAAGUCCUGACUAGUUCUCUUGGAUCCUGUUUCUGAUGGAUACCUGCAUUGUUUGACCAGCAACCUUCCUUUCAAAGAGCCACUACUCCCCUCUCCACGUGGCCCUGGUUGGCUGUCCAUCAUGGGACUCAACCUCCCUACUGAGGGAUUUGGUUCAAGGGUAAGUAGGAUAUGACCUGAACAGCACCAUGGUCUUCCCUGAGAAAUUGUGGAUUCUGGAAAAGAACAUUUCUUGCUUCUCCUGGGAUAAUGAGAUAAAGCAUAACUCUGGCUAGAUCCAUUUGUGGUCCUUUUUCUGAUAUUAAGGGGCAUAUUUUACAGCAGAAGAGAAUAGCAUUCCCACACGCAAGGUGAAGCAGUGGCAAGCUGCUGGGAUAAACAGGUGGAGGGAGAGAGGGAGUUAAUCCAUGUGACAUUAUUUUAGUCCAUGGACCUAGCCAUGUCUGAAAUUGGUUAGAUCCUCUAAGGGUUCCUCCCUGCCCCUCUCAACCCCAAGCUAGUUUGAGCUGGGUUUCUAUCUCACACAAUUGAGUUUUGACUAAUGCACGCGUGAUUUAAGGACGUGGUUAGAAGAACCUCAGAGAUAUUUUUCUUUGUGACUGUAAGAACCCUGCCACGUCAGUGAGGAGGCCCCAGUUCUUGGGCCAUACAUGAGGGAUGAUAAUCCCCACGGCAGGGUUGUACGGAUUAAGGAGGGAACUCAGCGAGUCUGUCAUAGUGCCUGCCUCACAUUAGGAGGUGUACGAAAGCCCAGGGCAUCUGCCAGCCUGCUGCCAUUUGCUCUGUGUCCUUGACCACUCUCCCCCUCUGCCCAGACUGAGUCAGACUCUGCUGAGAACAGUGCUUGGUCAGGUAGUAGUCAUUGCUCACUGUCAUCAUCGUGGUUGUAUUCUCUUCAUUUGUCCUAUAAAUGCAGCAACACCAACAGAACAUUGAAUAUGUUGUGAGGGUACUCAGCGUUGGUUAGGUCAUUACUGUUCCGGGUGGGAGAGCAGCCAUGGGUGAGGCUAAGUGCAACUUCACUGCACUGAUGUUUUUGGCUGCAGGCACUUCCAGCUUGAGCUAAACCUGAAGCUGGGUGGUUAGACAGAAGGGGGAGGGGCAGGAAGAAAAAAAUGUUGGGGUUGAUAUUUUUCAAAUUUUUUCUGCUACCAUUUGCAAUUGUUUUUGGUCUCAUUUGUCCUCUUUCUGCAGUGAUUUCCAGAAGGAAGUUUGCUGUGUCAGAAUCCACAAAAGCCAUGUAUCUGUUGCUGUCAAAGGGACCAGGGUUCAAAUAGUCUUUCGGAAAAGUAAAGUUCCCAGAGAAGAAAUCAUGGAGGUUCCUUAAGCACCUUGACAACUCAGGCCUAUAACAGGGAUCUUGGGAUCACAAAGGCCUGCACAACUGCAGCACUGUCUUGGCUCUUGCUCUACACACCCUAGCCACUGCUAACCAGGGGCACCCCCAGACAGGAGAAAACAGAUGUCCUGGCUUACCUCACACCUGGAAGAUGAGUAGAGAGGAGAAAGACCAGUGGCAUGAGGCUGGCGGAACCUAUUCCCUUGAGGAGGUAUUACAUCUCCCCAGGAUGGAGUUGGUGCUAAGGAAUGGAGGUGAAAGGGGAUGUGUGGGUUCUGCCCAUAAUUUCAGGUUGACUUCUCCUGAUGAUAAACAGCUGGUGCUACCGAAGAGGGGAAAGGAUACAGGGUUGUUGCACUGAACUGGCUGGGAAGCAGAAUCUGGAGGAAGCUGGAGCUGGUGCCCUGGUGCUCCAGACAGCGUCAAGGAAUCACAGGUGGUCUUAGGGAGAUCAGCUUGUGGCUUUCCCUUAAUUCCCCUGAGGACCCGGAGUCUAGAGGUAGGUUUGGAAAUGUCCAGGGAUUUGUAAGCAAAGCUUCAGGGAGAAGGUUCGAGGCUGAAGUAAGAGGCUAGUAAGAACCCUGAACUUUAUGGUCAACUAAUAUUCGAUAAAGGAGGAAAGACUAUCCACUGGAAGAAAGACAGUCUCUUCAAUAAAUGGUGCUGGGAAAAUUGGACAUCCACAUGCAGAAGAAUGAAACUAGACCACUCUCUUGCACCAUACACAAAGAUAAACUCAAAAUGGAUGAAAGAUCUAAAUGUGAGACAAGAUUCCAUCAAAAUCCUAGAGGAGAACACAGGCAACACCCUUUUUGUACUUGGCCACAGUAACUUCUUGCAAGAUACAUCC